rnacentral:rRNA from 1 species
AGCGAACGCUGGCGGCAGGCCUAACACAUGCAAGUCGAACGGAUCCUUCGGGAUUAGUGGCGGAAGGGUGAGUAACACGUGGGAACGUGCCCUUUGGUUCGGAACAACUCAGGGAAACUUGAGCUAAUACCGGAUGUGCCCUUCGGGGGAAAGAUUUAUCGCCAUUGGAGCGGCCCGCGUCUGAUUAGCUAGUUGGUGAGGUAACGGCCCACCAAGGCGACGAUCAGUAGCUGGUCUGAGAGGAUGAUCAGCCACACUGGGACUGAGACACGGCCCAGACUCCUACGGGAGGCAGCAGUGGGGAAUCUUGCGCAAUGGGCGAAAGCCUGACGCAGCCAUGCCGCGUGAAUGAUGAAGGUCUUAGGAUUGUAAAAUUCUUUCAGCGGGGACGAUAAUGACGGUACCCGCAGAAGAAGCUCCGGCUAACUUCGUG